AGAAGCUCAGUCCUCAACGCAGUGGCCGCGGGUUUGAUUCCGACCCGUGGCCCUUAACUGCAUGUCAUUGCCCGUCUCUCUCCCCUUUCCUGUCGUCAGAUAUGCUGUCAAAUAAAGGCCUAAA